GAAACAACCCUGAUUGGACUGAUCCAGGAUGGGGAGGAAUCUGCCUACAGACAGGAAUUGUCACAGCUGGCUUCCUGGUGGCUUCAUAACAAUCAUGGAG